rnacentral:rRNA from 1 species
CCUACGGGUGGCAGCAGUGAGGAAUAUUGGUCAAUGGACGAGAGUCUGAACCAGCCAAGUAGCGUGAAGGAUGACUGCCCUAUGGGUUGUAAACUUCUUUUAUAUGGGAAUAAAAUGUUCCACGUGUGGGAUUUUGUAUGUACCAUAUGAAUAAGGAUCGGCUAACUCCGUGCCAGCAGCCGCGGUCAUACGGAGGAUCCGAGCGUUAUCCGGAUUUAUUGGGUUUAAAGGGAGCGUAGGUGGAUUGUUAAGUCAGUUGUGAAAGUUUGCGGCUCAACCGUAAAAUUGCAGUUGAAACUGGCAGUCUUGAGUACAGUAGAGGUGGGCGGAAUUCGUGGUGUAGCGGUGAAAUGCUUAGAUAUCACGAAGAACUCCGAUUGCGAAGGCAGUUCACUGGACUGCAACUGACACUGAGGCUCGAAAGUGUGGGUAUCAAACAGGAUUAGAUACCCGAGUAGUC